rnacentral:rRNA from 1 species
AUGGCGUCAUGGUCAUCGUCGUCCACGCAGCGGAGCAGCGGCGCGACCAUGCCGUGCUCCGUGGUAAAGCUCGACGACGACCUGCUGCACCACGAGGAGGAGACCGCCGAGGAGAUCCGGCGCGGCCCGUGGACCGUGGAGGAGGACCUCACACUCGUCAACUACAUCGCCGACCACGGCGAUGACCGCUGGAACUCCCUCGCCCGCGCCGCCGGGCUUAAGCGGACGGGGAAGAGCUGCCGGCUGCGGUGGCUGAACUACCUCCGGCCGGACGUGAAGCGCGGCAACUUCACCGCCGACGAGCAGCUUCUCAUCCUCGACCUCCACUCCCGCUGGGGUAACAGGUGGUCCAAGAUAGCUCAACACCUUCCUGGGAGGACCGACAAUGAGAUCAAAAACUACUGGAGGACAAGGGUGCAAAAGCACGCCAAGCAGCUCAACUGUGAUGCUAACAGCACCAAGUUCAAGGAUGCCAUGAAGUAUCUAUGGAUGCCUCGCCUUGCUGACCACCACCUUCAGCAAGCAUCUACAGUAGGUGAUCAUCUUGUGCCUGGGCCACCAACGGCCUACAUGGAGAGCUCCGGCAUGGUGACAUCGUCGUCCGACUCGUUUGCAUCGGAGUCAUAUGAUGGUGCACGCUGUGCAAAUGCGAGCGUGGGAGAGAUGAUACAUAGUGGGGAUUGGGUUCAAGAGCAGAAUCAAGGGUUUUGGCCUGAGACAAACCAGAAUUUCCAGCUUCAAGACUCGGAGUUGUCUGGAUGGGUACAAGGGUUCUCCGAGUCCGACAGCCUCGCUGAGAAUUUUUGGAGUUUGGAGGACAUUUGGAAGAUGCAAUGA